rnacentral:rRNA from 1 species
UCUAAUACCGGAUACUGAGCACCGCAGGCAUCUGUGGUGUUCGAAAGCUCCGGCGGUGCAGGAUGAGCCCGCGGCCUAUCAGCUUGUUGGUGAGGUAAUGGCUCACCAAGGCGACGACGGG